rnacentral:rRNA from 1 species
AUUGAACGCUGGCGGCAUGCUUUACACAUGCAAGUCGAACGGCAGCGCGGGCUUCGGCCUGGCGGCGAGUGGCGAACGGGUGAGUAAUGCAUCGGAACGUGCCCAGUAGUGGGGGAUAGCCCGGCGAAAGCCGGAUUAAUACCGCAUACGACCUGAGGGUGAAAGCGGGGGACCGAAAGGCCUCGCGCUAUUGGAGCGGCCGAUGUGGGAUUAGCUAGUUGGUGGGGUAAAGGCUUACCAAGGCGACGAUCCGUAGCUGGUCUGAGAGGACGACCAGCCACACUGGGACUGAGACACGGCCCAGACUCCUACGGGAGGCAGCAGUGGGGAAUUUUGGACAAUGGGGGCAACCCUGAUCCAGCCAUGCCGCGUGCGGGAAGAAGGCCUUCGGGUUGUAAACCGCUUUUGUUCGGGAAGAAAUCCUCUGGGCUAAUACCCCGGGGGGAUGACGGUACCGGAAGAAUAAGCACCGGCUAACUACGUG